rnacentral:rRNA from 1 species
CAGGGAUUGCCCCAGUAACGGCGAGUGAAGCGGCAAGAGCUCAAAUUUUAAAUCUGGGGUCUCCGGCCCCCGAGUUGUAAUUUGGAGAGGCAUCUUCGGGAGGAGCGCUGGCCAAUGUUCCUUGGAACAGGACGUCGCAGAGGGUGAGAAUCCCGUGCCAGGCCAGCCGCGCCCUUCCACGUGAAGCGCCUUCGACGAGUCGAGUUGUUUGGGAAUGCAGCUCCAAGUGGGUGGUAAAUUUCAUCUAAAGCUAAAUACCGGCGAGAGACCGAUAGCGCACAAGUAGAGUGAUCGAAAGAUGAAAAGCACUUUGAAAAUAGAGUCAAAAAGUACGUGAAAUUGUUGAAAGGGAAGCGCUUGAGACCAGACUCGGAGCGAGGCAAACAUCUGGCCCCGCGGGGCCGUGCACUUGCCUCGGGCCGGGCCAGCAUCAGUUGGUGCGGCGGGAGAAAGGCGCGGGGAAUGUGGCUCCCCUCGGGGAGUGUUAUUAGCCCCGUGCUCAAUGCCGCCCGCACCGACUGAGGACCGCGCUUCGGCUAGGAUGCUGGCUUAAUGGCCUUCAGCGACCCGUCUUGAAACACGGACCAAGGAGUCUAACAUCUAUGCGAGUGUUUGGGUGCCAAACCCUUUCGCGGAAUGAAAGUGAACGGAGGUGGGAACCCCUCGCCGGGCGCACCAUCGACCGAUCCUGAUGUCUUCGGAUGGAUUUGAGUAGGAG